rfam:Oryctolagus cuniculus cont2.35949, whole genome shotgun sequence.
GGCUGGAAUGCAGAUGUUUGAAACAAAUGUGUAUUCAAUAAAUGAAUUGUUGAUAACUUAGUUAUUGGGCUGGAGACUGGUCGCUGGUCAGAGAAACGCCA